CAGAUGAGUCCUGCGCUCCCAAGGCCGAGCGCUCCUCAGAAACCUUCCGGAAAUGGAACAGUCGUAAAGCGAAGGGCGUUUCCCCGCCACUGCCUUCCCGCUUUCUGGAAGUUGGCCUCGCGCCUCAGCGCUUUUAAGACAGAGCUGCGUGGGUCCCUGUUUUCAAUGACUGAAAGCAAUCUGAAGGGGAUUUUUACUUUUGAGGGAAAAAAUGCUGUUACUGUACGACAGCUGUUCUUUCGUUAAGACGAGGUGGCAUAAGCUAGGUGCGUGACCCCCGCCAAAUUGUGGUUAUCGGUUGUUUACUGAUUUGCUCUCGGUGGGUCUAUGAUCGGGCUUCUCCGACCUGAACAGGAAAUCCCUAGCUUUGGGUCACAUUGUUCUAAUUUGAGUACUAAAUGGUUUGGAGUUCACAGAACCUAACGGUAUUUUUGCUUGGCAGAAGUCUACCGGGUCUGCGGUGAAGCUAAGAUUGUCCUCGUGGAGCCACUUUGCGUGCAUUCCAGCGGCUGAAAAUGUGCCUAGCAGGUGCAGGACUCUGCCCUCUAGUCGGACAGGGACAGCCUGGGCCUGCACCAUAUUCGAAGUUGAUUUUAACAGGUCCUUCAUCAGCUAUGGGAAGACUAAGCAGCCGUGAUGCCGGCCGCUUUGUUUGCUUUUCCAAGUACUCUCAUCAGUGUAGAAGACUGACCUGCUUGCACUUGAUCAGCAGGCUCCCUUGACCACAGGCUUCUCACGUAUGGAGACGGGCUUAAGGAGAACAAGUACCUUGCCCCCAAUUCCAUGUAGACAGCUACUGAUGGAGCUGGUAUUCAAACCCAAGCCAUCACAAUCCAGAGUCUACAUGCUACUCAAUUUCCUCCUUAAUUGAUGAGAAGGUAACUAAGAAAAAACGACAAAGGAAAGUUACAGUCCAGUGGAAGAAUGGGGAUGAAUAUAAAUCAUUGUGAUACAGAGCAUGGUCUACGUGGCAAAAGCAAUGUCUAAAGAGUGAUUAAUUUUGACAGGGGUGGGGGUUGAGAAAAGCUUCCCAGAAGGAAGUAACAUUGAAUUUGGCCUCAGAGGAUCAAUUAAGCAGAGAGAAGGGAAAGAACCCUGAAGAUUGGGAUUGGUAAUUUCAAUAGAGAUGCAGAGUCAGGAAAAAAGUAAGGCAUAUUUAGGGGGCAAAAUUGUGUAUUAUGGGUAAAACACAUGGAGACUCAGAGCAUGAGGGUAUUUGAGAAGUUGAAGGGCCUUGAGGAAUGAGGGGAGGAAUGUAAACUAUAAUCGAUACUUUAAGCAGGGAAAUAGCACAGUUACUGACCUAUCAGUUUGGGGUCUGGCAAAGACAGUUUUAGUGGCAGUGUUUAGGAACAGUUAGAAUUGAGACUGACCUGAAGCAGACAAACCAGUGAGAAGUUGGUUGCAGUGAUUUGUUAAAAAGAAAAACUGGAUAACCGUGGGCUGCAGCUGAGGAAGUUGCGCUGAGAACAGAAGAGGGUAGAUGUUUAAGAGACUUUAAAAGUGUUAUCAAUAGGAUUUGGUGACAAAUGUCAAAAAGCGAGAGGGAGGAGGAGCCAAAGACAAUCCCCAAGGGUUCUCGCCCCAAGGGUUGGAUGAAAAGCAGACACAGUCAAAAAGCAAGCGAGAGAGAGAGAGAGAGAGAGAGAGAGAGAG